GGACGUGCCAAGACUGAGCUUCUGUUUCUUUUCAAGGACAGUCCCUGCAAUGGCUUCGUUUGACCUACCCUCCCUUUUCUUAUCAAAUGAAAUCAGCUACCACAGGAAAUUGACUUCUCCAGAUUGUAGGAGACAGGAAGCAGCACCACAAAGCAGGUUCCAGGGAGGGAAGGCAGAGAUGAGAGAAACAGCUCGAGUCCCAGCUCGGGCCUACUCCAUCAACAGGAGCCCAUGUCGUUUGGGUGGAGCUUCAGGAAUCGGCAUAUGAGUCAGUCCAGAAAAAUAGGCACAUCCCACCCGCCAACCACAGUGACUGAUUGCGGAAGAGGCACUUGACCCCAGGUCACACAAGGGGGUUCCGUCCUGGGACUUUUGCUGCACUGUUUUGAAAGAGGCCUCUUUCCCCCUGGUAUUGCUAGACUAGCAGGCCAUGGGCCCGAAACUGCCAGAACGCACCCUUGAUGCCACCCGGGUAGAGUCAGGGGAGAGCAGGGCUGAGAGUUGGAGACACAGAUUCCUGAAAGCAUUGUUUGAGCGCGUGGAUCCAGUCUUGCUUUAAAUCAGACUUUUUAGUAACAUGAACCGAUCAAUUCCUCUGCUACACCAGUUUGAGUUGGGUUUCUAUCACUAGUGAUUAAAAGAGUCCUCAUUAGUCCAGAUUGUACUUUAAGUUGCUUGUAUACAUUAUCUGGAGGAGAGUAUAAAAAUAAUAGGCUAUAAAUAGUGAGACUAAUAUUAAGUUAUUUUAGGUAAUAAAAAGUCAAACUGAUGGGAAUAGUUCUGUGGGGAAAUUGUGUGAAGCUAUGUUAACAGUAAGAAAAGUGACUAGGUUUUGGUGUAAGUAAAUGCCUGGUCACACAUUCGGGAAAUAAUAAUUUAAGUUCUAUUUCUAGUAUGACACAUUGCAAGGCAAAGAAUAAGUCAUUAAGGGCUCUUUAAGAACAUUCAGUGCAAAGAUGCUACUGCACAUAACAUAUUAGAAAAGUAUAAUAGAAGUAAAACAGGUGACAACGUUUAAAAAAACAAACAAACAAAAAAAAACAGGUGGCCAGAUGCAGUGGCUCACGCCUGUAAUCCCAGCACUUUAGGAGGUCGAGGUGGGCAGAUCACUCGAGGUCAGGAGAUCAAGACCAGCCUGAG
rnacentral:lncRNA from 10 species